GGCACAUUGCUGGUGGGCAUGUAGGUUAGAGUGACAAACUUGGAAAACAAUGUAGUAGUUUCUUUAAAAGCUCAAAGUUUUCCUUUGCUAAAAUGUCAUUUUAUUUUUAAUUAUGUUGUAUAUAUUUGUGUGCCCUUCCCCCAGACUUGAGCAGGCUAAAUAGACCUUAAGUGUUUGCCACUAUUGGACCUUAAUGAUCCAGGUGGAGUCAAUUCCCUACAGGAGUAGACUGCCAGCUGAGCUUGUUUUGUAACUCAAUCCAGCUGAAACAAAGGAUGGGGAGGGGUCUGUGGGUUUUCCCUAUAUAAGCACAGUGCUGACUAUUAAACUUUGAGCCUUGAUCAGAAAUCUUUGUCUUGGCUUCAUCCUUCUCUUGCCUGCCCAUCCUUUUUCAUUCCCAGCCUCACUUUCAGAUACCCAGUUCUCUGUGGCUGCAUGACAGCUACAGGUGGUGCCAGCAUGAGGGGCCUGAAAACUGGGGGACCCACUGAGAAAUGCUGUCUUGGAUGGAGCUCCACAGAAAACAGAAGAAAAGUAACAGUAUCCUGCAUCGUGAUUGGUCGCCUUCACAGAGGAUUGCCUUCAGCAAGCUCAGCUACUCACCAUGGCAGUUAUUCAUCUCUAUGAAGAAAUGCAUUGAGUGCAUAUUAUAUGUCCUUCAUGGCUUUCGUCUGAAUGAGAAAGAGUGUGGUUUGGAAGGCCAGUGGCCAGAGAUGGGUAACCAAGUUCUUGAGCUCCUAUUGACCUAAGACAGAGACAUACAUCAAAAAGCAAUGGAAGAGGUCCAUGACAGACAGGAGCAAGUUGUCCUUCAAGAGGCUCCACCCAGCAACUGACUCAGACAGAUACAGACACCCAAAGGAUGGAGCUUGAGGACUCUUAUGGAAGAAUUGCAGGCCCUGAAGGGGAUAGGAACUCCACAGGAAGACCAAUAGAGUCAACCAACCUGGAUCCUUUGGGCUCUCAGAAUCUGGACCUAGGCCUCCCCACUUAUGUAGCAUAUGUGCAGCUUGGUCUUCAUGUGUGUCCUGAACAAUUAGAGCGAGGGCUAUCCCUAAAACUGUUGCCUGUACUUGGGAUUCUACUAGCGGGGCUGCCUUGUCUCAGUGGGAGAGAAAGCACCUAGCUUUGCAGAGACUUGAAGUGCCAGGGUAUGAGAGGAGGUACCCAGGGUGGCCCCAAUAUGCGCAAAGGAGAUGGGGAAAGAACUGUGGGAAGGUGUAACUGAAAUGGUGGCAGUGAGUGGGAUGUAAAGUUAAUAAAUAAACCAAUAUCUUUUUAAAACAAUAGCCAUGCAAAGUGGUGUAUGCCUAUAGUACUAGAUACUUGAGAGAUAGAGGCUUAAAGGAAAUCACUGACACCUAGGAAUUUUACUCCAGCUUGGACUACAUAGUGAAACUGUGUUUCAAAAAUAAAACAAAAUCCUAUACAAAUUUAUUUGUAUUCAAUAUACCUAUUUUGAGC
rnacentral:lncRNA from 1 species